CCCAAUCCAAAAUCCCCGAAGCUUGUCCAUCCUUCAUGCUCACCUGCACUGUCGUGCUCAUCCCUACACUGUUGCUGUUGGGACUCGAUAUGUGAAUAAUAUGGCUGGGAUAGGGUGGCCUCAAAAUCAUCAUCUCUCUCAUUUUCUCUUAGACCCCCUUCCCACUCUCCCUCAUUAGGUGCAAUAUCACCGACAUAUUGUGGAUACAUUGGCUGGCUGCUU
rnacentral:lncRNA from 1 species